CAAACUGGAGAUGGCGACCGGCGGCACGGGUGAGUAACACGUAUCCAACCUGCCGAUAACUCGGGGAUAGCCUUUCGAAAGAAAGAUUAAUACCCGAUGGCAUAAUAGAACCGCAUGGUUUGAUUAUUAAAGAAUUUCGGUUAUCGAUGGGGAUGCGUUCCAUUAGGCAGUUGGUGGGGUAACGGCCCACCAAACCUUCGAUGGAUAGGGGUUCUGAGAGGAAGGUCCCCCCACAUUGGAACUGAGACACGGUCCAAACUCCUACGGGAGGCAGCAUG
rnacentral:rRNA from 1 species